rnacentral:rRNA from 1 species
GACGAACGCUGGCGGUGUGCUUAACACAUGCAAGUCGAGCGGUAAGGCCCUUUCGGGGGGUACACGAGCGGCGAACGGGUUAGUAACACGUGGGUGACCUGCCUUUAGCUCUGGGAUAAGCCUGGGAAACUGGGGUCUAAUACCGGAUAUGACCUCAUGAUGCAUGUUGUGGGGUGGAAAGCCUUGUGCGGCUGGAGAUGGGCCCGCGGCCUAUCAGCUUGUUGGUGGGGUGAUGGCCUACCAAGGCGA